GCCCCCGUAGCUCAAUGGACAGAGCACCGGACUUCUAAUCCGUAGGUUGUGCGUUCGAGUCGCACCGGGGGCGCCU
rnacentral:tRNA from 1 species